GACGUAGGGCGCGAGCGUUGUCCGGAUUUAUUGGGCGUAAAGAGCUCGUAGGCGGCUCAUUGCGUCAACCGUGAAAACCAGCAGCUCAACUGUUGGCUUGCGGUUGAUACGGGUGGGCUGGAGCUCGGUAGGGGAGACUGGAAUUCCUGGUGUAGCGGUGAAAUGCGCAGAUAUCAGGAGGAACACCGGUGGCGAAGGCGGGUCUCUGGGCCGAUACUGACGCUGAGGAGCGAAAGCGUGGGGAGCGAACAGG
rnacentral:rRNA from 1 species